rnacentral:lncRNA from 1 species
CAGGAGUGGACCCCAUGCAUCUGCAGGGCAUGAUAGAUAUCCUGACAGAUGCUCUUUUCCCCAAUGCUAUGGGUAGUGGGCGCUUUGAUAGCAGGUGAAGCCGGUUCCUGCUCAGUGAGUGAGGUAAAGAGCUCCAUUAGACGCCCCGCGGGAUUGCAAGACAAUUCUGUAGAGACAGACUGCGUGGCGGAGCAAACGGGCCCCUCACUUAACCCGCCUUCCAGGGAGGCUCGGGCUCAUCUGUCUCCUGUCACUUUAGAUUCCACCGUCACCUCUUCAUCAUCCCUCGAGCUGCCACGGAGGCUGGUGCCGGUUCCAGCUGGGAAGGGGGGAACAAAAGAAAAAGAGAGAGAGCAGGAGGGGCAGAAGAACAUAUUAGCACGGAGUGGAAGUGAAGCCCCAGAAGAUGGACCGUCACCUAUGCUCCGGAUUCGGUGCCGGCUUUUCAAGAGAUGGCUUCAGACUGUGCCCCUUACUCACCGAGGCGUCCCUUAA